rnacentral:rRNA from 1 species
AUUGAACGCUGGCGGCAGGCCUAACACAUGCAAGUCGCACGAGUGGCGGACGGGUGAGUACUGUCUGGGAAACUGCCCGAUGGAGGGGGAUACCUACUGGAAACGGUAGCUAAUACCGCAUCCCAUCGGCUGUGCCCAGAUGGGAUUAGCUUGUAGGUGAGGUAACGGCUCACCUAGGCGACGAUCCCUAGCUGGUCUGAGAGGAUGACCAGCCACACUGGAACUGAGACACGGUCCAGACGCCGACGGGAGGCAGCAGUGGGGAAUAUUGCACAAUGGGCGCAAGCUUGAUGCAGUCAUGCCGCGUGUAUGAAGAAGGCCUUCGGGUUGUAAAGUACUUUCAGCGGGGAGGCGUUACCCGCAGAAGAAGAACCGGCUAACGCCGUGCCAGCAGCCGCGGUAAUGC